UAACACGUAGGGGGCAAGCGUUGUCCGGAUUUAUUGGGCGUAAAGAGCUCGUAGGCGGUUCGGUAAGUCGGGUGUGAAACCUCCAGGCUCAACCUGGAGACGCCACCCGAUACUGCUGUGACUAGAGUCCGGUAGGGGAGCGUGGAAUUCCUGGUGUAGCGGUGAAAUGCGCAGAUAUCAGGAGGAACACCAGCGGCGAAGGCGGCGCUCUGGGCCGGAACUGACGCUGAGGAGCGAAAGCGUGGGGAGCAAACAGGAUUAGAUACCCUGGUAGUCCACGCCGUAAACGUUGGGCACUAGGUGUGGGGUCUUAUCAACGGAUUCCGUGCCGUAGCUAACGCAUUAAGUGCCCCGCCUGGGGAGUACGGCCGCAAGGCUA
rnacentral:rRNA from 1 species